CCCAGUUCAAUCCCAGUUCAGCCCAGUUCAAUCCCAGUUCAAUCCCAGUUCAUUCCCAGUUCAAUCCCAGUUCAAUCCCAGUCCAUCCCAGUUCAUCCCAGUUCCAUCCCAGUCCAUCCCAGUUCAAUCCCAGUCUCACCCCGAGGGCGUGGCCCGUCGCUGGCCCCGCCCCCUCCGGGAAGAGCCAAUCCAGCGCGUCCAGCACAGCGGGGGAGGGGCCGAGUUCCCGCAGCAGUGACGUCACCACCUGUGGGGGGAGGGGCGGGGCCAGGCUGGGGGGCGUGGCCUAGAGAUUCCCUUGCCCAUAUAAGGAAAUGGGGGUGGGGUUUACAUUGGUGGGCGUGGUCUGAAGGUUUCUAUGCCCAUAUAAGGAAAUGGGGGCGGGGUUUAGUGGAGUG
rnacentral:lncRNA from 1 species